AUACGGAGGAUGCGAGCGUUAUCCGGAUUUAUUGGGUUUAAAGGGUGCGUAGGCUGUGCGUUAAGUCAGGGGUGAAAUGCCGUCGCUCAACGACGGAGCUGCCCUUGAUACUGGCGUGCUGGAGUACGGAUGCCGUUGGAGGAAUGAGUGGUGUAGCGGUGAAAUGCUUAGAUAUCACUCAGAACACCGAUUGCGAAGGCAUCUGACGAAUCCGUCACUGACGCUGAGGCACGAAAGCGUGGGGAUAGAACAGGAUUAGAUACCCUGGUAUUCCACGCCGUAAACGAUGAUGACUAACCGUCGGCGAUAGACAGCCGGUGGCCAAGCGAAAGCGAUAAGUCAUCCACCUGGGGAGUACGUCGGCAACGAUGAAACUCAAAUGAAUUGACGG
rnacentral:rRNA from 1 species